rnacentral:rRNA from 1 species
AUGAACGCUGGCGGCGUGCCUAAUACAUGCAAGUCGAGCGAACAGAUGAGGAGCUUGCUCCUCUGACGUUAGCGGCGGACGGGUGAGUAACACGUGGAUAACCUACCUAUAAGACUGGGAUAACUUCGGGAAACCGGAGCUAAUACCGGAUAAUAUAUUGAACCGCAUGGUUCAAUAGUGAAAGACGGUUUUGCUGUCACUUAUAGAUGGAUCCGCGCCGCAUUAGCUAGUUGGUAAGGUAACGGCUUACCAAGGCGACGAUGCGUAGCCGACCUGAGAGGGUGAUCGGCCACACUGGAACUGAGACACGGUCCAGACUCCUACGGGAGGCAGCAGUAGGGAAUCUUCUGCAAUGGGCGAAAGCCUGACGGAGCAACGCCGCGUGAGUGAUGAAGGUCUUCGGAUCGUAAAACUCUGUUAUUAGGGAAGAACAAAUGUGUAAGUAACUAUGCACGUCUUGACGGUACCUAAUCAGAAAGCCACGGCUAACUACGUG